GGCUGCUGCACGCCUGCUUUCUCAAAGAUGCUUGUGGAGUAAUAGAAGACCUACCAGACAGAGAAGUCGUUAGGGCUCAGGUGGGCACUGUGGCUGUGUAGGACACAGGGUGCCCACCUGGCAGGUAAAGGAGAAGGCUCCGGACAAGGAAGCAGUUCCAGGAACUAGAGACACCUGUUCCCGCCCCUGCCCCAGGGAGGGCUGACCAGCCCGGUUCCCAGGGGAGCCAGACAUGCAGUGGGUAGGAACCUGGGCUCUGAAUCCAGAUGCAACAGAACUCAGCUCUACCACUCAUUUCCAGUGUGACAGUGGGCAAGUUAUGUUACCUCCAAGUUCAACAGCCUCAACUCUAAAAUGGCAGCAUUUGCAUGUAGUACGUAAGUACCACUUCACAGGGUUGCAGGGACUUGAGGAAACAUAUUUAAAGUGCUUAUCCAGUGGCUGGCACAUAGUUAGCACUCCAUAAGUAAAUAAACAGAAGUCAUCACUGAAUCAGGGGAUCCCUAAAAUUACCUUCUGGUACAGACCCCGGGAAAAUCUAACCAAGUUCCCACCCCAUAAUUUGAAAUCAAGCCUCCCGCCAGAUAUUAGCCCAGCCUCGUCACCUACCACCAGCUCCUACUCCCAACACAUCAGCGGCACCUUGGCUCCACAUCCCACUUUCCCACCCCUCCAUGCUUUUGUAGAUGCCACUACUCCUGCCUGGAGGGCACCCCGCUUUACUGUGCAGAAACGUUUUGAGAUCCAGCUCAAAGGUUCCCUCCUCUGAGAGGCUUUCCUUGACUCCCAGAACUUUGUCCUCCCUGAAAGCAAGGACCCCAAGUGGAUUCAAACCAAGGCCUGUCUCAGAGCGGGACCAGAGACUCCUGGUCAGGGAAUGGAGGAAUCAGGGAGUGAAGGGUCUUGAGCUCUCCUCCUAGAAGCUCUGUUUUUGCCGGGGGCAGAGAGAAAGCAGACUUUAACAAAACAGUGCUUGUGUUCUUCAAGAGAUAAAACUGGCCCCAGUGGAGGAUGGGCUGGGGACAGUGAUGGCCCAUUUAUAGGCUAUGCGGAGAACAAGCUGUUCUGGAUAAGGGAACUGUCCAGAUAAAUGACACUCACCCCUCAGAGACCCAAACUUUUCUGGCCAUUAACUGAGUGGAAACCUUUCUCCCUUCUGGCACUCUCACUUUGCUGCCCUGAGCAGCAAGUCCCUGGGGCUCACUAAGAGACAAGGAGAGGUGUGGUUCAGUACCUAUGCUGACUGGUCCCAGGUGGCUUUUGUUUCUUGCAUUCUUGCAUUCCAUAGUUCUCAGGGUCUUCCCCAUCCCUCUGUGGUUCAGGUGCUUAUCUCAUACAUGCUCCACAAACCUUUUUAAAACUUGCCAAGAAACCGGCUAAAGGAACUUGUUUGGAUUGUGAGCAAAGUAAGAGUUAGUAAGUGCUAAGUAAGAGCUUAAAGAUUCUAUCUACUACCUAAGUGAGCUUAAGGGUGUGACACGGGGCAGGGGGGAUGGAGGUUAGGGGGUGUGUUCUGUUACAGCAGCUCAGGUAUUUAGCGGUCUUCUUUGGACUUGGCUUGAGAUACUGAGGCAGUUGGUAUGUGUGGUGUCAUCACAGGCCCGCUCCAGGUAAGUCUCGUGCCUGUGGUAACACAAGUCAGAGGAACCAAAUCUUGUCCAAGGCUAGGCCCUGACUGUUGCUGUUAAGUGCUGUCGAGUCAGAACGAAAAACUGCCUGGUCCUGCACCAUUCUCAAAACCGUGGCUACGAUUGAGCCUUGUUGCAGCCACUGUGUCAAUCCAUCCUGUUGAGGGUCUUCCUCUUUUUCACUGACCCUGUACUUUAUCAGGCAUGAUGCCCUUCUCCAGGGACUGAUCCCUCCUGAUAACACGUCCAUAGUAUGUGAGACAAAGUCUCACUUCUAAGGAGCAUUCUGGCUGUACUCGGACCAUUUUCUGGGGUUGAGGAAGGCUGGGCAGCCAGCCCCCUUCAUGCUACCUUGGCCCCAGACUCAUUCUCCAUCCUCACUCAACAGAUAAGGCUGGGCAGUGAGGUCCUGCCUCCUGAUCUGGGGCCUGGGAUUUUCAGGAAGAAGCCAUGCCUGGUUUUCUAUUCCUGUUGCUGGUGUGGGAGCUCCAUGUCCUUUCCUUCCUGGGGGGGUCCAUGCCCUAUGUGGGGCUCCAGGCUGAGUCUUGGCUCAGGAAAGGCGGGGGGUAGGGGCUGGCUGGGAGAAUGAGAAGAGACCUACAUGGGAAUAAGUUUUCGGGUCUUCCAUCUAACUAGUCUCUGCCCUCAAGCAGAAGUAGCUGGGGUGUCCCUAGGAAAGAAGCCUACCAACAGGAUCCCACAGACAAAGAAUCCACAAAGUACGGCAGCCUCUCCAGCCCUGGCUCAGGUUUGUGAUGGCUGGCACAUGCCUGCUUCUGAACCCUGCUCCUUCUGUGGUCAUCACAGCCUGGGAGCUACCCUCAAUUCUGCCAUUGCCCCACAUUCGGUCAAUUGCCAGGUUCUAUCCAUUCUGCCUCCUAAAUUGUCUCACUUCUUUCUCUACCACACAGCACCUGCCCUAGGUCUCAGCUGUAUCCUCCUCCUGACUCCUCCCAUCCACCCAAGCCAGGUUCCACUUCCCACCAGGAAUUCCUCCUCAAUAUGGUGGUCAGAGCCCCACGCACAAAAUGCAUCAGGUUCAGCCCAUUCAUCUGCUUCCUGCUCCCUUCCCAGCCUACACACCUUUUUGCCCCCACAAGAGGUCUCUGUGAGUACACGAAUGCUGGGGACAAAUGGAAAGGGCUUGGUCAGUUUGAGGGGGCACUGUCGUGUGGCGGCCUGUCUACAGUUGAGAGGCUAUUAGAGAUCUCUGUCCAGCCCCCUCACUGAACCUGGAGGGCAAAGAGGCCCAGAGGGGCCACUGAGCAGCAUUGACAGGGUCAACUUCAAGAAAACAGGCUGGCUCUGGGGAGCUGAGAUCCAUUGGACUGGCUGGUUUCCAAUAAAAAGCUAUUCCUUACCCCCAGCAGUUCUCUUGGGGGUAAAGGGGGAAGCUUCUCAGGAAUUCCCCCUAACAAAAAAAAAAUUUUUUUUUUUCUGCCCAGGCAGCUGUGUGUGAAGGAUCACACGUCUGCCUGCCUGGGAGGCAGCACUCACUUCCUCUGUGCUCAGGCGGUGUCUACAGCAAGGCCCUGCCCUGGGCCUGGGCAGGUGGCAGAGCACACUGCCUGGCACACGGCAAGAGGUAAAUAAGCCAUGACUGCUGUCACAGUGUUUCUUGCGACCGACCUUCGGGAAGAGCAUUAGGGACAGGGUUUUCCAUUUUAAAUUGCCUGAGGACAAAGCACUCCCCUAAGGAAUUUAUGGUGCAAGAGAGAAUCUGAAGGAGCUAGGGACCUGCCACAGGGGAGCCCACAGAGGGACCAACCAGUCUGUGGAGCCCUAGAGGGUAUAGACCUCGAGGGACAGAUCUCAGCUCAGUGGAAAGAAGAGCUUUCCAGGCCCCAGGGAAUGAGACUGCCUACCACGGAGGUAGUGAGUUCCCUGUUAGUGGGGACUGUGUAAGUCAAAGUGAUGUAGAGUAGGGAUUGGCAAAUGUUUUAGGCCAGAUAAACAUUCUUAGCUCAUGGGCUGUAAAAAAAACAGGCUGCUGGCCAGAUCUGGCCCUCCUGCCUAGACUCUCACCAAGAGGCCCACCUGGUAGAAGGGGUGCAUGUUCUGUAGUCUCUGGCUGGUCUUACCAUCCUUCCCUAUGGGAUCCUGUAAACAUUCCUCUACCCCAAGAUGCCUGAGACUCCCAGAUCAUCCCUUGCAGGGAUCUCCUAUUCUAGGCCUCCCUCCUCUCUCCUGGAUGUUACUGUGGGGAUGAAGGGGUUAAACAGCCAGCCAAACUGUGAGCUCCAGGAAGAAGAAAAGGGCCAGCUUGUCCAGUUCAGUCCCUCAGCUUGGCCUUGACCCCUGUUCUGUCUCCCCUUCCCCCAGCUGCCAGCCCAGAGCUAGGUCUCCAUAGCAACUCUCAGCCACACCCAGGGCCUGCUGGGAGUUCAGGGCCAGAUGCUCCAGGUGGGGCUGGACAGACAGCCUUGCCUGCUGGGUCCCCUGGGGCCUCUCCCUGGUGCCUAAGGGAGAGGCUCAGGCAGCCUGAUGAAGCUAGGAGCUGGCCCCCAAGCCCGUAGCAAAGAAUCAGGCCACCCAGGCCGCUUCUCUGGAAGAGCUUUGAACACAGCUUCUCUCCAAACCAAGGCCUGGCCAUUGCUCCUGCUUUAACUGGCCUCCUCACUGGUCCCUGCCUCCGGGGUGCCCCUGCGGCCAGAGGGAGCUUCAUCUCACCAUGGCCGCCCCUGCUCAAAGCCUUUCUUGGCUCCCCACUGUCCUCACCAUGUGUCUCCUCUCCACCCACUCCAUGACUCACACAGCCUUCCUGCUACCUGGACACCCCACACCUCUGGACUUCCUGUGUGCCUUCUCCCUGGCGAGCUGUUAGUCACCUUUCAAACAACGCACACUCUUCCAGAAAGUCUUCCUUAUAAACCACUGCUUCCCCUCUACUGCAGUGUUCUCAGCUGGGAGAGGUGCCCCCAGAAGACUUCUGGCAAUGUCUGGAGACAUUUUGGGUUGUUACACUGGCAGAGUGCUUCUGGAAGCUAGCAGGUAGAGGCCAGGGAGGCAUGCUACUAAACAUCCUACAAUGCACAGGACAGCGCUUCACCACCAAAGAAUUAUCUGGCCGAAAACAUCAGCAGUCCUGAGGUUGAGAAGCCCUGCUCCAUGGGCCAGUACCUUCUCCCUCCUCCCCCCUUCUCUGCUCACACCGUGCCCACCCAGUUUCUGCCACUGCCCCCAUACAGCUAACGACAGUGUUCGGUGCUCCUCAGGUCUGAUUCAUCUGUGUCCCUGGUGCCCAGCACAGGGCUGGGGGUAGAGAGAGUCUCCACUAACUAAUAAACCAGCCAUGAAUAUAACUAAGGGACUUAAGAGAUGAUAUGGCUAUGACUGGGUAUAAUGGUGUAAGAGGUUGUGCAACUGUGUAUGGGAAACUGUUGAGAUGCCUGUGCAUGACUGAGCUUGACUCAGCAUAGAAGUCAGAGCAUGAGGGGCUAGCAGUGUGGCAGCUGCAGGUUUGUGAAAGGCUGGCUAUGGCAUAACCACCAUUCUUUUCACUGAGGCAUGGACUGGAGUCAGAAUCCCUGGAUUUGAAUUCCAGCUCUGUCACUCACUAGCUGUGUGUCUUUGGUUUAAUUCUUUUUUUUUUUUUUAAUAAUUUUUAUUGCGCUUUAAGUGAAAGUUUACAAAUCAAGUCAGUCUCUCACACAAAAACCCAUAUACACCUUGCUACACACUCCCAAUUACUCUCCCCCUAAUGAGACAGCCUGCUCUCUCCCUCCACUCUCUUUUUGUGUCCAUUUCGCCAGCUUCUAACCCCCUCCACCCUCUCAUCUCCUCUCCUCCUUUAAUUCUUAACAUCUCUGUACCCGUUUCUUAUAAAACAGGGAUUAUAGUGCCUACCUAAUGGAGUUAUUGUGAGGAACAAUGAAUUACUAUUUCUAAAGGGUUUAGAACAAUGCCUGGCACACAGUAAGCAAGCUAUAAGGGUUUGUGGGGGAAGGACCCCAGAUUCUUUGUAUCUAGGCAGAGGUAAGAACGGGCUGCUGGAGCCCCAGGCAGGGGAAGCAGGUCUUAUUUCCAGCAGCGAUUCAGCGAUUCAACUUGGGUAGACCUCACCCCCUCUUGAGACCAGGUUCCUCCUUUGUCAAACAAGGAAGGCUGAGCCAAUGAGCCAUCAGGCCCCUUUCAGCCCACUGUCUGGGUUCUGAGUAUGCCUCAUUCUCAGACAUGCCUGACAUUGUCCCUUGGCCAGGAGUUCAUGAUUUCUCAAUGGCCUUUAGUCAUCUCUGUUGACAACUUAGCCCAUUUGGGGUGGGGCUGGGUUUAAGGCAUUUCUCAGAUCACCCCAGGAUGGUGGUCAGGAUGCCCUGUCUAUUUACCCCGUCUGUGGCUGGGCUUAUCCCCACCUCCUCUCACUUCCCCAGUGAGACUCCUGGCAGGAUAUGUCAUCAUUACUCACACACUACGGGGUCGGGGAACGAGCAUGGGACAGGGAGCCAUGAAGCCUGGAGUCCACCUCUAGCUCCGCCGAUCACUCUCCAAGUGAUCCUCACCUGACCUCAGUUUCCCCACUUGUAGGACGAGGAAGAUGAUCCCAGCUCUGCCUGCCUUGCAGGGCUGCUUCAAGAUAAUUUAUGGGGAGGUGCUUUGUAAACAUUUAAGAUAAUGUUAUCAUUAAUUAACCACUUCCAGGAGGAAGCCCUUUGGGGCUUGUUUUAUUGAAGAGACCAAGCUUCUGUAAUUAACAGUAUUAUCUGCAUCCUAACCAUUAGUGGGGCAAAGUCUCUUCUCUAGAGUAGGCAAACCAUGGCCAACCCACAGUUUCCUAAGUUCUUCCGAGCAGAUAUGGGAAGUGAGUGUGUUCGGUGCAGGCUCCUUCUCUUCAGGGCAGGCUCGCCCUUCAAGGUCUAGCGAGGCUGCCAAAUCCUCCGAAGUCUUUUCCAUCUCUCCCAUCACCCUACCCCAGCAGGUGUGGUGGUUCCUUCCUCUUUGCUCCAUAGCAUUUUGGAAUCUUUCAUGAAUAUACUCCAGCUUUUUCCAAGUUGUCUCCCCAGGCUGCUCUGACUUUUGAGGGCACGGACAGGGUCCAGCUCACCUUUGCCUCCCAAGCCCAGCACAGAACCAGGCACAGACCAAGUACUAUGCAAGCUCCAUGAGAGUCAGGAUUUGCCCGUUCUGUUCACACCUAUAUCGUUCCCAAGGAGCCUUGGUGAUGCAAUGGUUAAGCGCUCCGCUGCUAACCAAAAGGCUGGCAGUUCAAACCCACCAGUGGCUCCAUAGAAGAAAAGACCUGGCGAUUUGCUCCUGAAAAGAUUACAGCCUAGGAAACCUUAUGUGGCAGAUCUACCCAGUCCUAUAAGGUCACUAUGAAUCAGACUCGAUUCACCAGGCACACACUGCAACAACACAUCGCUCCCCACUAUCCAGGACAAUACGUAGGACAGAGCAGAUGCUCAGUAAGUCUUAGUUGAAUGAAAGUGCUGGCAGCAUUGAAUCACUGUGCCAGCCGAGGACAAUGUCUUCAGCACCUACUGAGGCAUGUUAUCCGCCUUGCCCUGCUGGUGCACAUUGGCUCUGAGCUGCACUUUCAUUUCUUACCACUGUGUCCUCCCAUUCCCUCUUCCCAUUUUUUAGUUUAUCGCUUCUAAUCUGCUCCUGACUGGAAAAAUGACAGCCAGGCCUGUGAGAAGUGUUCGUAAAGUGCUAAAAUAAACAGACUGAGUGCCUGAGUGCUUGCCCCGGAAACGCUGCUAGAUCCAGGGUAUGUACUUGUGCCCUACCAAUUCUGGUCACUAUUCAGCUUUGGUCUUCAGUGGCGGUGUCUGAAGUGACCUUUAGACAGGUGCCCCCAGUGCUCUUGCUGUUUACAACCUCAGCUGGGCGCUCCGUGCUGCCCGCCCACCGGUCUCUCUUUAAGAACCUGGUCUGCCCAUUUUCACAUCAGCUCUAACCUUUUACCUAUUUCUGAUAACAUGGGAGGCCACAGAACUGAAGAACUUCAUUCUAGAUUUGUCCACAUCCUCAAUCUUAAAGUAUCUUAGUCCCUCCUGGUUAAAUGCAACCCCUUCUUCCCCUCUUCCUGCCUCGUUGAGAAUCAUCUCCCCUCACUUCCUUAUCUCCACCUUCUCCUCCUCUGCUGAUUCCUUACGUGUUUAAAAAUAAAGUCUUAUAUUUUUAAAAAACCGUGACAUAUAACCCCUUCAGCUACCACCACCUCCUUCUUCCUUGCCCCACAAGUCUCUUGGUGGGCUGUCUCUACUCUUUCUCAUCUCCCUCUCACUCUUCAACCCAUUGCAAUUAGGUUUCCACCCACACGGCCCCACUUCUGGCCUUUGCCACCACCAAGGUCACCGUCCGUCCUUCGCGUUUAGCAACAUGGCGGUGAUUUGUCCAGCUCAACCUCUUCAUUCAUCAACCCGUGAUUUACUGAGUGCCUAUUACUACGGACAGGCACUGAUCUAGGUACCAAGUACUACUGAGUUGACUCCAACUCAUGGAGAGCCCAUGUGUGUCAGAGCAGAACUGUGCUUCGUAGGGUUUUCAAUAGCUGAUUUUUCAGAAGUAGAUCAUGAGGCCUUUCUUCUGAGCUGUCUCUGGGUGAACUCAAACCACCUACCUUUCAGUUAACAGCCAAGCACAUUAACCAUCUGCACCACUCAGGGAUUCCCACCAAUGAUUAAAGUAGUGAACAAACUAGACAAAAGCCCUUCCUCACACGCCCAUUCUGAUUGGGCCAGGCCAUGUCGUUGGUUGAGCCUUUUGUAGAUCAAAUGUACUCACAAGGCCCUUCAUGGUGGGGCUCUGGCUUACCUGGCUGACUUCCCCAACCUUCCUUCUCUUCCCAUGACCCUAGUGACACACCAAACUACUCACUUUUUACCAAAUGCUAGGCUUUCUCUCCUCUGGGCAUUUCAUUCCUGGCUUUGUGGCACCUCCAUCUCCCUUCCCCGGGAUUGUGUCUCUGAAAAACACCUUCUCCAUCCUGACCAUAAAUCCUGGCUUAGAGUCCUAGUUCUGUCCUUAACUCACUAUGUGGUCACUGUCAAAAUAUCACUUAAUCCGGUAGUUCUCAACCUUGGCUGCAUGUUAGGAUCACUUGGGGAACUUUUAAAAAUUCAGUGCCCAAACAGCACCCCAGACCAAUUAAAUCAGAAUGUGGGGUGUCCAGAGAAUCCCAACACAUAGUCGAGGUGGAGAACUCAUCCUCCCUCGAAUUCUGUAAGAGUUCUUGAAGGAAGCCAGCUCUGAGAGCUGGCAAGAGCUGUUCAGAGCACUUAGCAAAAGCAGGCUUGGGAUUAUUCCAGCCAUGGGCCCGUAGUCGCCAUUUCAGGCGAGUUUGGAAAAGUCCUGUCACCUCUGCUGCAGCUGAGCAUGACUCAGCAGGCCAGGCCUUCCUGGUGACCUGCUCCCCAGCACCAGGCGUGGCCCCCACAGCCACCCUCCGCCUAUUUGGAGGAGGUCCAGCUCUGCUCUGACACUGCCCAGCUCCCCUGGACAGACGCCUGAUCCUCGGGAGCCAGCCACACUCACUUUCCAGCCUUAACUGUCUGGACAACGUAUGUGGUCUGGACAGGAGGACUUCCACUCUCAUUCCAUCCUCCCCUGGAAGGUACAGAUCUCUAAAUGGAUGAGGCCCAGAGAAGUUGGUUAGGAAGAGAGUCUGAGGUUGUGGCAGCAAGUGAGUUCAGCUUCUGACCCCACCAUUCAACCAGCUAUGCAACUUUGGCCUAUUGUCCAUUUCAUCUGCCUGAGCUUCAGUUUCCAGGUGCAUAAAAAUGCAAAUCUUCGUCCAGCCUCAUAACCUAUGUAAAACGCCUGGCAUACAGGACGGGUCAGUAAGAGUUUCCUUUCCUGCCCCUUUCCCCUUCUCUCCUCUGUAAAGCAACUAAGUAGGCUGGGCUGGAGGUGAUCACCAGGGUCCCUUCCAGUCCUGACAUUCAAGUGAACAAGUGAGGGCAGAUCCAGGCAGCACAGACCUCCACCUCCCGCAGUUCCCUGGGGCAAGAUGCAAUCUUUGCUUUGACUGGCACAGGGCCUCCAAAGACAGGAGGCACUUUCAGCCUAGACCUGGAUGCCUCACAAGGGAGUGUACUCCUGUCUGUGAGCACAGGCUCCAGGACCACCUGGCAGGCAUGGGCUCCAAGGCAGGCUAGUAUUGGACACCAGCUCUAUCCCUGCCUACCUGGGGGACUCUGGGCAGGUUUCUCCUCUCUGAACACUUUCUCCAUCUGAAAAAUGCAAAAACCUUACAUGGCUGCAGGGAACAUCAGGUGAAAAGCCCUUCAUAUGCCCCAAAAUACCCUGUAAAUACAGCCCCAUUAUGCUGAGCAUUACUUAUUCAGUGGAGUGUCUGUGUUGGGUGGGAGGUCGAUCAGGAUGACCUAUAAAGAACCCCAUGAUCCUGUGGGUCCUAAUGGUCUAGGAUUCUUCAGGCUCAAGAUUCCAAGGCCAGAAGUCAAGCAUCUCUGACCUGCUCAGGGCCAGAAAACUGGCUGGUGAGGCAGAUGGUAAGCUGACGUAAAUGAUGACUGCCCACCAAGGGGGAAGUGUGAGCGUGUGGUAAUGCAGUGGAGCGAGCAUGUGUUGAUUAGCAAAGGAUGGCAGAGCACUCACCUUCUGGGGCGCAUUGAUGACUCCAGUGUUGUAACCAAACUGCAGGGAGCCAAGCACUGCCCCUCCCACAGCCAGCAUGAGGCGACCCGUCAGCUUCUGCAGAGAAAAAACAGAGUGUCAUAGGCAUGUCUGGGCCCAGGUUACUACAGGGCUGGGCCUGGGCUGGCAGGUUCCCAUGUUCAGGUAUCUUGGCACCAUGCCUGUCCUUCUCCCAGGCAACGUGGCCACUCCUGACCUCAGGUGCCCAAACCACCACUGCCAACUUCUAGACACUGGGCUUGCCAGACUUCCUCCUGGGGAGAGGAAGUUAGGGUCUUCCCUCUGCAGUCAGGUCUUGGCUAGAAAGGGAGAGGCGCUAGCAUUCUGUGGGGUCUCAUUCCCCUGGUAGGACCAUGCCUGGGGUCCAGAUGGCUCCAAACCUUUGACUGGGAGGCCUAGGAGCCAAGCCCUCCAUGUGAUGAACUGCAGUCAGCCAAAUUAUGUGAUAGGAGCAUCAUAGAUGGGAAAUGCCAUGGACUUGGAGCCAAAGGUGCUGAUUUCUAAUUCUAGCCCACCUGCCAACCUGUGAAUUCCAAAGGGCUAAGUUACUCCCUUCACACUUCCCUUUGUCCCCCCAUUUUCUUAUCUGCAAAAUGGGACUAGUCAUGCUGUCGGCACUGUAGAUGUGGCUCCCCUCCCCUUCGCAGGCCAGGAAACUGAGCUCUGGGAAGCAGAGAUAAGAUCCAGACCACUCAGGAGUCCAUGGCAAAGCCAGGGCUGGAACCUAGUGCCCCUCACAGGAAUGACCCCAUACCUGGAUCUUCCCAGGGUUAUGUAGACACAGAUGACAUAUCAGUGAGGAAUGUGCUUUGGAAAAGAACAUGACAGGAGGCGAGUAAGGGGGUCAAGGCCAAGGUGCUUCCAAUGGGCAAAGGGCUGGGGAGAAAAAGGACAGUGGGUUUCUAUCCCCUGGAGGCCGAGGGUAUGAAGGCAGCAGGGAGGGCCCUAUUUACACAAAGAUAGGAGAAAGGCAAGCAAGGUGUUCUGCCUUGCUAGAGGAAGGUAGAGAAAUCUUUUUCUGGCUUUUAAAAUGAGGAAGCCAAGAAACUUGACAUUAGACAGGUCUCCACCGGUUGUGGGAGAAUGGAGCCAGGGGAGGCAUGCCAAAGAAUGGACUGCCGUUUACUAUGUGCAUCGCUCCGGCUGGACACCAAGGUCGGGCGAGGGGGAGAACAUGUGGAGGGGAGAAUCCUAACUUGUCCAUGGCCUUGUUGUGGGCCUCAGUUUCCCCACAUAACCCAGGGGCAGCCCCAACUUCAAUAUCCUCACAGACAGUACUAGGCUUAGCUGUUGAUUAGAUGCGUCUGGUCUUUUCAUUCUCUAGAAGCUGCCAGGCAGUAGUUGUGAAAGCCAAGGCUCUCACAUCAGAGGCUGAGAAAGAGGAAGAAGGCUUCGGCCCUGCUCGGUGCAUAAACUCUUGGGCCUUCCUUCCCACUGGUCUACCUGACCUUUCCCUGGCUGAACUUGAGGCAUUUAUCCUAGAUGCUGGGGGUUCCCUCCUGCCUGGCUGCAUUCCCUCCAAGGCUCAGGUCAGAAGACACCCUCUACCCCACCACCAAGUCUCCCUUUUCUCAAUUGCACAGGGAGCCUUCAGACCCCAGGCCAUCGGUUCUGAGCGUGUGGCGAGCACCUGCCAAACCUUCUCUGGUAGGCUCUGGCCAAGCACGGGGCUUACAGCAGACACGCCCUUAAACAAACCUCAGGGGGCAAUGGCUGGAAUUAAAUAAGAAGAUGUACACCCAGCACUAACCAUCACAGGAGGGCUCAGCAAACAGCAGCUGCUGAAAAACCACCAGGGACCAGCCCUUCUGCCUGGUGAGGUACAUGCAUUAGCCUGGUCAUGUCCAGAAUGUGGUAUGGAUGGUACACAAGGUAUCCAUUUUUCUAAUACAGUACACACUAGGAUAAAUAUAAAACUGGCAAUGCAAACUUAUGAUUUAAUAAAAUGUGGCAUGUCUAUAUAAUGGAAUACAUAGAAGAGAAUAUAUUUCUUUAUUGAUGUGAAUACUCUCCAAAAGUUAGAUUCUAAGUUAAAAACAAGCUUCGGAGAAAUGUGUAUUGUAUGCUACCUUUUGUGUAACAAACAAAAAAAACUGGCUGGGGUUGGGGGGAUAUGUCUACUUAUUUACUUAAAAGAAUGUACAUUGUGCUUUGGGACUAGGGGGGAAGGGAGACUUCAUCCUAUACCCUUUUGCACUUCUUUGAAUUUUGAACCAUGUGAAUGUAUCACCUAUUCACAGUAAAUUUUUUACAAGCUCAGAUCAUUUCAGAUGAAGCAAUUUAAGUAAAAGCAUUAAGUGAAAAACAAUGCGGAUGAUACGUCAGUCUGGCAGAGUGGUGGCCCAUGAAUGACUGCAUUGCAGCUGUGGCUCUGUGAGAGCUAAGUACUGUUACUACAGGCCCUGAUUUAAGUCUUGCUCUGAUGCUCCAGGGGGGUCUUUGGGCCUCUGAAGUCACCCUUCGGCUCCGCUCAGUGGCCACUCAACUGUAGCCUCUGGCGGUGGGGCUGCCAAGGACAAAUCCUUCUGCUGGACUUUGCCACUGGCAGGUCAAGGUCAAACUCUGCUUUAAAAAACGUGCCUAUCCACACACUGGGUUAUAUUCACAUCCACCCAGGCAGGCUGCGGCAUUAGGAUUCACGAACACACUCAGUGGCCUGUGCUCAAGGCCCUUGCUGGAGCUGGGGCCCCAGGUGAAACAGGACCCAGUCCUGACAUCAAGGCAGAGAGAGGCUUCCAGUCCAGUGGGGAGGCAGCAGCAGACAAAGAGAAGCUAGUAUGGUCUGGGCUUCCAUAGGGGGGUCGUAUGAGGCACUGGUGGUGGUGGGGGGUUGGGAGGAGGUGACCUGGAGGGAGAGAUUUCUAAUUUUGGCUGGGGACAAUUAAAGAUGGGUUUUCAGGAGGUAACACUGGAGGUGGACCGUGAAGAACAUGCAAGGAGCCUGCCAAGUGUGGAAGCAAUGGCAAGAUUGCAUUCCAGCUAAACAGAACAGUAUGUGCAGGAGGAAGAAGAGGAGAUAGAAAUGGCCAGAUUAAGAAACAGGGUGCACUGUGUGGCUUGAUGCUAGAUAAAGGAGUAGUGGGGCCUCUACUCCUUGGCAGGCACAUCACACAUCCAGGUUCCCACCUCCUACCCACAUUGCACCUACCACCUUCCUGGCUUGGAAUCAGGAGACCCAGGUUCAAAAUGCAGUGAGCUGCUUACUGUCUACCUUGGAGCUGGAAUAGGUGGCAACCCUGUCCCUUGGACUCAAUCUCCUCACUGAUGGGAAUAAAAGUUCCUGCCCUAAAGGGUUGCUGUCAAGUUCUGUAUCAAGUGCCCAUCAUGGAGCCUGGCAGAGUUCACUCAUCAAGUGUUUAUUGAAUCAGAGAAUAGGAAGCCAUCCUCAAUCAGGCCACCUUGGCACUGUCUGAAACUCAGUAAUGAAGCCCAUCCAUUUGACAUUAUAUUUAUUUAGGUACUGAACUGGUGGAAUAGUUAGUAAUGAAUUAGAGCAGGGGUUAAAAAAAAAACCCUAUGCCUUGUGACUUUCUUAUAGAAAUCUUUUUGGGAGUGAGGGAGCAAUGUAGAGCCCAGAAUUUGGAACCCCCAGCAACCCAUCACCACCACUUCCUGGGAAUGGGCUACCUUCUAGAACAUUCCAUGCCCUCCCGCCUCCAGCUUUAGCUCCAAAUAGUUGGGCAUACCUAUUUGACCCUCUUACCCACUAGACUGGGGACUUACAGGACUUGUGCCUUAUUCAUCUCUGCAGACACAGUGCCCAGGCUAAGGUGCAGCACAGAACAAUUGUAAAACAAAUAAAACCACCACUUCUCAGUUCAGCUUUUGGGCAAAACUGGCUCUGUAUCUGUUUGCCAGAAUGUUGUUCAUCCUAAUAGAUUUCACUUCAGCCAUUCAUUAAAUCCCUGGUAAGUACUGUAACGUCAGCUAAGAGGUAGAAAAAAGGUAACAGCAUGCUCCCUCAAUCCUCAACCCUAUCAACCAGGGCUGUAGAGAAGAGACCUCUGAAGUCAGGCAGAUUCGAGUUCAAACCCUGACCGUCCCAGCAGUGCCAGAGGCAUCUGGAUUCAGCAAAUGCCCGGGCUCAGGAUCCAGCACAGAGGAGGCUCUCUCAGUCCUAGCCCUCACCGUCCCUAGCCCAAUUCUGGGGGUCCAGAGACCCACUGAGAGCUGGCCCUCUUCCAGGAAACCCUUGAUGAGGUAUCAGCUUUGGGGACCUUGCCUCCCACACUCUGGGAUGCAGGAUGGCCCUGGCCAUGUUGUGCAAUGUGCCAAGCACCAUGGCCUUUUGACCUGCACCCAUGUGCCCUCCUUGGUACAGCACCCUAGGCCUGGGCUUGGCUUGCAGGAAGCCCUUGGUCAGUAUCGGCAGAGGGAGGGCAUGACCCUACACGUCAUUCAGAAACAGGGCAUUCUCUGCAGGAAGAGGGUCCAGGAGCUGGCAUAAUCCAGACCACCCUUCAUCUCUUCUUCCUCCCAUAGCUUUCUACCUAGUUUCCCACGGUGCACUGGAGCAUGGGAUAUGGGGCUUUGUAAUUGCUUGGUCUAGUUCUAAAGGGGCUGUGGGUGGGGGUGAAAUAUGGGCUUACUUGAACCAGGAUGGUUCCUUUAUUUUGAGUUUCUUUUGUGUAAGAUUUCAUUUGAAUGAAUGUCUGGGCAUUUAAAAAAAAAAAAAAAAAACAAA